UAUAGAUUAUAAUUUUAAGUCCAAUYUGYUCAAUGAAAUUUAAAUAGCUGCAGGAUUUAACUGUACAAAGGUAGCAUAAUCAAUAGUUUUUUAAUUGAAAGCUGGAAUGAAAGAUUAGAUAAGGUAUUUAUUGUCUCAGAUUUAAUAGAAUUAGAAUUUUUUUUUUUGUUAAAAAGCAAAAAUAAUUUUAAAAGACGAGAAGACCCUAUAGAUUUUAAUUUUUAUUAUUAAAAAGGUAUUUAAAAUAAAAAAUAAUCUUAUUAAAAUAAAAAUUUGAUUGGGGCAAUUAUUAAAUUAAUUAAAUUUUAAUAAAAAUAAAACAAUAAUUAUUGAAUAAAUGAUCUUAAUAAAUUUGAAUUAAUAGAAUAAAUUACCUUAGGGAUAACAGCGUAAUUUUUUUGGAGAGAUCUUAUUAAUAAAAAAGUUUGCGACCUCGAUGUUGAAUUAAGAUAAAAUUUUAAUGAAGAAGUUAAAAAUUUUUGGUCUGUUCGACCAUUAAAAUCUUA
rnacentral:rRNA from 1 species